UUCCCUAAUGAAGUUAAGUGACUAAAUGAGGAAAACGAAUGAUGACCAUAAUACGUUCCAGCCUAGAUGCUGCAUGCAGCCGUCUGUGCUUUCCAGACUGGGAGUAAUUCAGCCUCCUGGCCAUCACUUUUUUUGCAGUAGAAGAAAUAUUCUUAUUUGACCAGCAACAGAACCACCGUUUUGAUUCCCGGCUGUGCACGGCAACAGAUGACUUCCUCCAAAAGACCCUGCUUUCAUGAUUAAUUCUCCAAUGCUACGAUGCCACUGCACACACCUGCCACCACUUUCUCGUACCUAGCUCUGGGGUGCAAUCUCCACACCAGGGUCACUGCAUGAGCCCCAUGGGUGCUCGAGCUGGUCCUCGGGGAUCUACCUUAAAACUGCCGAGGGAGCCGGCGGCAGAGCCGUGGACGGACGCUAGGACUCCCCAGUCUUGCAUCUGCGCUUCCAGCUCAGCAUUGCCCUCCUGCUCCGCCGUGGUGGGGAGCUGCUCCUUGGGGCAUCAGGCACCUUCUCGCACCUGGUUUUCUGGAUGCCCAGCAGGACCCUGAUCCCAUGUGUCAGAGCACCCUCAGCAUCUUGGCUGCUGUUUUUAUAACUAUAGCACCAUUUACCUGAAACAGGUUUUCUGCAGUUUCAUAGCUCGGUUCAUGUUUUUAACGUCACUCAUGCUGCUACCUGUUUAACACACGUUAAAGCAGCGUGACAACACGUGCUGGCCCCAACAGGGUGUCUCUCUGCCAGGCUGGACCGUACUGCGCUGCCUGCCGGGGGAGCGCAAAGCGCUGCUGUCGGGAGACGACGUCAGCAGGCGGCACGGAUCGAGGCCCCUCUCCCCUUCCCCGAUGCGGCGGGGGGCUGGCACGGUCCGUCUCCUUCCCGCCUGCUUAGCCGAAGCGCGGCCCGGAGUUCGGUGGAGGCAGCUCAGCGAACGUCAGCGCUGGCCUCGCUGUGCUGCAUUGUUUUCGUGGGUGUCUGCACCUUUCAGGCAAGCGCCAAUUAGGAGGGGGGCAGGCGAGAGGAGAGAAAGGAAGCAAAUAGAGGCAAAGCGAUUCAGCUCGCAGCAAAUCUGCAGCCUGUUUGCCAGACAGAUGGAACCACGUAGUCGAUGGCUUUGCUGCAGCCGGGCCCCCGAGCAGGUCUUCCAGCACCAGCAGGUCAGACAGAAGGAAGAUCUGGGACAGACACGAUAAAUUUUCCUUGUGGAAGAGCAUCUAUUUGAAAGCUCAAGAGAACCCAYCUCCUGCUCCUUAUCUACCCAGCCUUUGUAACUUGGCAUUGUCAAUCCAGGCACAGCUCUGCCGCAAGUUUGACCAACAAGAGAAAACAAACAGAAGGAGGUGAACUCAGAGAUGAAAGCUGGGGCUACAGCUGGUGCAAACAAGGCUGUUAUUUUAAAGCUGGCCUGCACUGCACCUUUUAGUAAUGAAGCAGCACCAGAAUGUCCCCAAAAAUAAGAGCAGAAAUUGCACCACAGCUGAGAUAUGUGCCAUGGCUGGUUGUGCCACUCCAACAACAGUCUGUCCUGAAAUCACACCUUUUCUCUCACUUUUUGAGAUGCGGUAUAACCCACUGCCCCAGGAGGUCUGGCGAGUUAGAAAUCCUCUAAUCAGUGGGGUUCCUCCAAAGGAGAAAGUUAUGUGUCAAGCACUGAGAAUGAACAUCAAGUGAUCGCUUAGGUGUGCUGUUAUCUGGGUAGACUUGCCUGUCAUCAGUGUUUUCUGGGUUGGUUUUCUUGCUCAGUCCAUGUUUUCUGCGUUUCAGGUCAGUGUGUCUGGACAAGCAUUAAAAUCUGAGUGUCCAGU
rnacentral:lncRNA from 1 species